UCCUAGCCCCGAUCGAAAUGUUAUCUUUUUGUGGUGGGGUUCACCACAAAAAAUAUAAUGCAGAGCGGGACAAAUG
rnacentral:sRNA from 22 species